rnacentral:lncRNA from 1 species
UCAGUCAAUACUUGAAAUGUUGAAUUGCCCUAAAGGUUUCUGUGGAAUAAUGAGAUUAUUUGGAAGUUAAGUGUAGCUUACUGGGCAAGGUGGAAGGGCAGGUCAUGGUUGUAUUUGGCUAUGAAAGAACUAGACCCUGAGCCUUUUUGGAAGGGUUCAAGAGGGCAGUGUGAAACUAUGAUGACUUGGCCCAUCCUUGAAGAGAAGAAAUGAGGACAGAGGGUUUCUCCUGAGGCUAUGGAAAAUCUGGGCUAACUUAAGCUUACCCUGUCCUUAUGCACACAGUGUAUCUGCCAACUUAUGGAUGCUCUGGCUCUUAGUGGCUGUGGAGGAAUAAACUUGGAAUCCCAGCUGGAAAAUAUUAUAGGCAUACUGUUCAAUCAGCUGAAUGAAACAGUUGAGGUCUCAGAUCCUCACUCUGCACGGAACCACAGCCUUGCCCUGAAGGCUUUCUACAUCCUGACCAAGUUAUACAAUGAUCAGGUGGUAUUCUUAAUACGAAAGAACAUGCAAACCAGUGAUCCAGCCAAGAUAGUAUCAG